UCCUACGGGAGGCAGCAGUGGGGAAUCUUAGACAAUGGGCGCAAGCCUGAUCUAGCCAUGCCGCGUGUGUGAUGAAGGUCUUAGGAUCGUAAAGCACUUUCGCCAGGGAUGAUAAUGACAGUACCUGGUAAAGAAACCCCGGCUAACUCCGUGCCAGCAGCCGCGGUAAUACGGAGGGGGUUAGCGUUGUUCGGAAUUACUGGGCGUAAAGCGUACGUAGGCGGAUUGGAAAGUUGGGGGUGAAAUCCCAGGGCUCAACCCUGGAACUGCCUCCAAAACUAUCAGUCUAGAGUUCGAGAGAGGUGAGUGGAAUUCCAAGUGUAGAGGUGAAAUUCGUAGAUAUUUGGAGGAACACCAGUGGCGAAGGCGGCUCACUGGCUCGAUACUGACGCUGAGGUACGAAAGUGUGGGGAGCAAACAGGAUUAGAUACCCUGGUAGUCCACACCGUAAACGAUGAAUGCCAGUCGUCGGGCAGUAUACUGUUCGGUGACACA
rnacentral:rRNA from 1 species